AGCUUUGAGUGGUACUGAUUCUACAGCUCUUGUUAUUGCUACUGCCGCGUGCUCACUAAAAUGUGUGAAGCUCCUGCUUGAGGCUGGUGCUGAUGUGGAUGGUAUUGGUAAAGAUACACCCUUAAUAAUUGCUGCCCUUGCUGGCUCGACUGACAUCCUUAAGUGCUUAGUUCUGGCUGGUGCAGAUGCUAAUGUUACUGACAGUUAUGGGCACACUCCUAUAGAAAUUGCUGCACGUUCUGGUAUGCGUGAACAUGUUGAAAUUCUA